rnacentral:lncRNA from 1 species
GAUUGGCAGCCUCGCCCCCAGGCCUCAGGCCCUCCCUGGCUUGAAGGUGAGGCUUCACCAGAGACCAGCCUCCUUCUGCCCAGGAGCCUGUCUGCCUUCUGCCACUAUUCAUGGCACCCAGGCUGUUCAUGCCAAGUGGGGCCUGCAGGCCAGUGCUGAGCUGUCCUCAGCACCCUCUUAGCCUCCGUCUCUUGCUUGUCAGCACCCAAAGUCCAGAGGUGACUCUGGCGGCGGGGAUGGGUGAGUCAGCGCUGCCCCCCUAAGCAUGUGCACAACCUGGUGGUCUGUGACAGCGCCCAGCAUUGGCCGCGACUUUUCUCCAAGAUCCAAGAAGGUAGAGACAGCGGGGAGAAGCCAGGCAGCGGAAGCAGGCGUUUCCAACCCGGAAGCAGGGGGCGCCUACCUAUUUGGACCUCUCAGCGGUUAAACACAACACGGUCUACCCUCCAGAUUCAGAUUAUGCAUCUCAGAAGAAACACCACAGAAGUAAUGUUGUAUUUUCCUCCAUACAUCAAAUCAGGAGGAGAAGGAGCAUCACCCUGAGAAGAGGAGGAGAAACUUGAUUCAUUCUUGCUGCUGCUGCUGUCACUGUUGACCUGCCAACCAGUACAUUGCUAUCAAGAUUUCACAGCAUAUUUUCUCUCUGAACCACGACGAUUUUCCCAGAAAUCUCUCAUUUUGGAAAUACCCUGUCUGCUGAUGUUGGGAGUGACCUCAGGGAGGCAGCUAAUGAAUAAUGAAUUGGUAUCUAAGACUAAUAGACUAAUAUUACUGCUAGUAGCUAAUACCUAAAUCAGGAUAUUCUAGAGUCUUCUAUCCUGCCAACCCUCUAAAUGGUCAAGCUACAAAAAGCGAUUAAUAGCUCUUUCACCACUUAACCCAGCAAUUAGCCAUUUUACAAUUUUUUUCUCCUCUCAAGCAUGCACUUUUCAAAUUUUUACAUUUUUUUAAUGACCG